GACGAACGCUGGCGGCGUGCCUAACACAUGCAAGUCGAACGAAGUAUAUUUAUAUACUUAGUGGCGGACGGGUGAGUAACGCGUGAGCAAUCUGCCCUAUACAGAGGAAUAGCCUCGGGAAACCGGGAUUAAAACCGCAUAACACUUAAGUACCGCAUGGUAAAUAAGUCAAAUUGAUUAAGAGGUAUAGGAUGAGCUCGCGUCUGAUUAGCUAGUUGGUGGGGUAAAGGCCUACCAAGGCGACGAUCAGUAGCCGGCCUGAGAGGGUGAACGGCCACACUGGAACUGAGACACGGUCCAGACUCCUACGGGAGGCAGCAGUGGGGAAUAUUGCACAAUGGAGGGAACUCUGAUGCAGCGACGCCGCGUGAGUGAAGAAGGUCUUCGGAUCGUAAAACUCUGUCCUUGGUGAAGAUAAUGACGGUAGCCAAGGAGGAAGCCCCGGCUAACUACGUG
rnacentral:rRNA from 1 species